rnacentral:rRNA from 1 species
GAUGAACGCUGGCGGCGUGCUUAACACAUGCAAGUCGAACGAAGCUCCUUUGCUUGAGAUUUCGGUCAAGAGGAAAGGAUGACUUAGUGGCGGACGGGUGAGUAAUGCGUGAGCAACCUGCCCUUCAGAGGGGGACAACAGUUGGAAACGACUGCUAAUACCGCAUAAUGUAUUCGGGAGGCAUCUUCUGAAUACCAAAGAUUUAUCGCUGAAGGAUGGGCUCACGUCUGAUUAGCUAGUUGGUAGGGUAACGGCCUACCAAGGCGACGAUCAGUAGCCGGACUGAGAGGUUGGCCGGCCACAUUGGGACUGAGAUACGGCCCAGACUCCUACGGGAGGCAGCAGUGGGGAAUAUUGGGCAAUGGGCGCAAGCCUGACCCAGCAACGCCGCGUGAAGGAAGAAGGCUUUCGGGUUGUAAACUUCUUUUGGCAGGGACGAAGAAAGUGACGGUACCUGCAGAAUAAGCUCCGGCUAACUACGUGCCAGCAGCCGCGGUAAUACGUAGGGAGCGAGCGUUAUCCGGAUUUACUGGGUGUAAAGGGCGCGUAGGCGGGAAUGCAAGUCAGAUGUGAAAUCUCCGGGCUCAACCCGGAAACUGCAUUUGAAACUGUAUUUCUUGAGUGAUGGAGAGGCAAGCGGAAUUCCUAGUGUAGCGGUGAAAUGCGUAGAUAUUAGGAGGAACACCAGUGGCGAACGCGGCUUGCUGGACAUUAACUGACGCUGAGGCGCGAAAGCGUGGGGAGCAAACAGGAUUAGAUACCCUGGUAGUCCACGCCGUAUACGAUGAAUACUAGGUGUGGGGGGACUGACCCCCUCCGUGCCGGAGUUAACACAAUAAGUAUUCCACCUGGGGAGUACGACCGCAAGGUUGAGACUC